rnacentral:rRNA from 1 species
UACAGAGGUGGCAAGCGUUGUUCGGAAUUACUGGGCGUAAAGGGCGCGUAGGCGGUCUUCUAAGUCUUGUGUGAAAUCCCUCGGCUUAACUGAGGAACUGCACGGGAUACUGGAUGACUUGAGUUCGGGAGAGGGAAGCGGAAUUCCGGGUGUAGCGGUGAAAUGCGUAGAUAUUGGGAGGAACACCGGUGGCGAAGGCGGCAUCCUGGACCGAGAUUGACGCUGAGGCGCGAAAGCCAGGGGAGCAAACGGG